ACGGAGGAUGCAAGCGUUAUCCGGAUUCAUUGGGUUUAAAGGGUGCGCAGGCGGAGUGAUAAGUCAGUGGUGAAAUCCUACGGCUCAACUGUAGAACUGCCAUUGAUACUGUCAUUCUUGAGUACUGUUGAGGUGGGCGGAAUGUGUCAUGUAGCGGUGAAAUGCUUAGAUAUGACACAGAACACCGAUCGCGAAGGCAGCUCACCAAGCAGUUACUGACGCUCAUGCACGAAAGCGUGGGGAUCAAACAGGAUUAGAUACCCUGGUAGUCCACGCCGUAAACGAUGAUCACUCGAUGUUGGCGAUACACUGUCAGCGUCUUAGCGAAAGUAUUAAGUGAUCCACCUGGGGAGUACGGUCGCAAGAUUG
rnacentral:rRNA from 1 species